CGGGCGGCCCGAGCUCAGGCAGCUCCAGGCCGGGCCCGCGGUCCGGAGCCGGCGCCGAGCGGAGACCCCGCGCCCGCACCCCAGUCCGGGCCCCGCCCGUGCUCUGCCUGGCCGCGGGGUGCGGGGACCACGGCCGGGUCGGGCCACCCGAAGCCUGUGUUGGGCCGGGCCGGGCCGGGGUGGGUGGGGGUCCGCCCGGCCCGCCCAUGGGCUCAGGAUGCCGGUGCGGAGGGGCCACGUCGCGCCGCAGAACACCUUCCUGGACACCAUCAUCCGCAAGUUUGAGGGCCAGAGCCGCAAGUUCAUCAUCGCCAACGCUCGGGUGGAGAACUGCGCUGUCAUCUACUGCAACGACGGCUUCUGCGAGCUGUGCGGCUACUCGCGGGCCGAGGUGAUGCAGCGACCGUGCACCUGCGACUUCCUGCACGGGCCGCGCACGCAGCGCCGUGCCGCCGCGCAGAUCGCGCAGGCCCUGCUGGGCGCGGAGGAGCGCAAAGUGGAGAUCGCCUUCUACCGGAAAGAUGGGAGCUGCUUCCUGUGCCUGGUGGAUGUGGUACCCGUGAAGAACGAAGAUGGGGCUGUCAUCAUGUUCAUCCUCAACUUUGAGGUGGUGAUGGAGAAGGACAUGGUGGGGUCCCCAGCCCGUGACACCAAUCACCGUGCCCCUCUCACCAGCUGGCUGGCCUCCGGCCGCGCCAAGGCCUUCCGCUUGAAGCUGCCCGCGCUGCUGGCCUUGACCGCCCGGGAUUCGUCCGUGCGGCCGGGUAGCGCGGGCGGCGCCGGUGCCCCGGGGGCCGUGGUGGUGGACGUGGACCUGACGCCCGCGGCGCCCAGCAGCGAGUCGCUGGCCCUGGAUGAGGUGACGGCCAUGGACAACCACGUGGCGGGGCUCGGGCCGGCGGAGGAGCGGCGCGCGCUGGUGGGCCCCAGCUCACCGCCUGCCUGCGCGCCCGGCCCGCACCCGUCGCCCCGGGCGCACAGCCUCAACCCCGACGCCUCGGGCUCCAGCUGCAGCCUGCCCCGGACGCGCUCCCGAGAGAGCUGCGCCAGCGUGCGCCGCGCCUCGUCGGCCGACGACAUCGAGGCCAUGCGCGCUGGGCCGCUGCCCCCGCCGCCGCGCCACGCCAGCACCGGGGCCAUGCACCCCCUGCGCAGCGGCCUGCUUAACUCCACAUCAGAUUCGGACCUCGUGCGCUACCGCACCAUUAGCAAGAUUCCCCAAAUCACCCUCAACUUUGUGGACCUCAAGGGCGACCCCUUCCUGGCUUCGCCCACCAGCGACCGGGAGAUCAUAGCCCCCAAGAUAAAGGAGCGGACCCAUAACGUCACUGAGAAGGUCACCCAGGUCCUGUCCCUGGGGGCCGACGUGCUGCCGGAGUACAAGCUGCAGGCACCACGCAUUCACCGCUGGACCAUCCUGCACUACAGCCCCUUCAAGGCCGUGUGGGACUGGCUUAUCCUGCUGCUGGUCAUCUACACGGCGGUCUUCACGCCCUACUCGGCCGCCUUCCUGCUGAAGGAGACGGAGGAGGGCCCCCCGGCCCCCGACUGUGGCUACGCCUGCCAGCCGCUGGCCGUGGUGGACCUCAUCGUGGACAUCAUGUUCAUCGUGGACAUCCUCAUCAACUUCCGCACCACCUACGUCAACGCCAACGAGGAGGUGGUCAGCCACCCUGGCCGCAUCGCCGUCCACUACUUCAAGGGCUGGUUCCUCAUCGACAUGGUGGCCGCCAUCCCUUUUGACUUGCUCAUCUUCGGCUCUGGCUCCGAAGAGCUGAUCGGGCUGCUGAAGACGGCGCGGCUGCUGCGGCUGGUGCGCGUGGCACGGAAGCUGGACCGCUACUCGGAGUACGGGGCGGCCGUGCUCUUCCUGCUCAUGUGCACGUUCGCGCUCAUCGCGCACUGGCUGGCCUGCAUCUGGUACGCCAUCGGCAACAUGGAGCAGCCGCACAUGGACUCCCGCAUCGGCUGGCUCCACAACCUGGGCGAUCAGAUCGGCAAGCCCUACAACAGCAGCGGCCUGGGCGGCCCCUCCAUCAAGGACAAGUACGUCACCGCCCUCUACUUCACCUUCAGCAGCCUCACCAGCGUGGGCUUCGGCAACGUCUCACCCAACACCAACUCGGAGAAGAUCUUCUCCAUCUGUGUCAUGCUCAUCGGCUCCCUCAUGUAUGCCAGCAUCUUCGGCAACGUGUCGGCCAUCAUCCAGCGGCUGUACUCGGGCACGGCCCGCUACCACACGCAGAUGCUCCGGGUGCGUGAGUUCAUCCGCUUCCACCAGAUCCCCAACCCGCUGCGCCAGCGCCUCGAGGAGUAUUUCCAGCACGCCUGGUCCUACACCAAUGGCAUCGACAUGAAUGCGGUGCUGAAGGGCUUCCCCGAGUGCCUGCAGGCCGACAUCUGCCUGCACCUGAAUCGCUCGCUGCUGCAGCACUGCAAGCCCUUCCGAGGGGCCACCAAGGGCUGCCUGCGGGCCCUGGCCAUGAAGUUCAAGACGACGCACGCGCCGCCAGGGGACACGCUGGUGCACGCUGGGGACCUGCUCACCGCCCUCUACUUCAUCUCCCGGGGCUCCAUCGAGAUCCUGCGGGGCGACAUUGUCGUGGCCAUCCUGGGGAAGAAUGACAUCUUCGGAGAGCCUCUGAACCUGUAUGCGCGCCCUGGGAAGUCCAACGGGGACGUGCGGGCCCUCACCUACUGUGACCUGCACAAGAUCCACCGGGAUGACCUGCUGGAGGUGCUGGACAUGUACCCCGAGUUCUCUGACCACUUCUGGUCCAGCCUGGAGAUCACCUUCAACCUGCGGGAUACCAACAUGAUCCCCGGCUCUCCCGGCAGCGCGGAGCUGGAGGGCGGCUUCCACCGGCAACGCAAACGCAAGCUGUCCUUCCGCAGGCGCACUGACAGGGACCCGGAACAGCCAGGGGAGGUGUCGGCCUUGGGGCCGAGCCGGGCGGGGGCAGGGCCGAGUGGCCGGGGCCGGCAGGGGGGGCCGUGGGGGGAGAGCCUGUCCAGCGGCCCCUCCAGCCCUGAGAGCAGUGAGGAUGAGGGCCCAGGCCGCAGCUCCAGCCCCCUCCGCCUGGUGCCCUUCUCCAGCCCCAGGCCCCCCGGAGAGCCGCCGGGUGGGGACCCCCUGACUGAGGAUGGCGAGAAGAGCAGCGACACUUGUAACCCACUGUCAGGCGCCUUCUCAGGAGUGUCCAACAUCUUCAGCUUCUGGGGGGACAGCCGGGGCCACCAGUACCAGGAGCUGCCUCGCUGCCCCGCCCCCGCCCCCAGCCUCCUCAACAUCCCUCUUUCCAGCCCUGGCCGACGGCCCCGGGGCGAUGUGGAGAGCAGGCUGGACGCCCUCCAGAGGCAGCUCAGCAGGCUGGAGACCCGGCUGAGUGCAGACAUGGCCACCGUCCUGCAGCUGCUGCAGAGGCAGAUGACGCUGGUCCCGCCCGCCUACAGUGCUGUGACCACCCCGGGGCCCGGCCCCACCUCCACCUCCCCUCUGCUGCCCGUCAGCCCCAUCCCUACCCUCACCCUGGACUCGCUUUCUCAGGUUUCCCAGUUCACGGCGUGCGAGGAGCUACCCCAAGACGGCCCUGCUCGACGCCUCUCCCUGCCGGGCCAGCUGGGGGCCCUCACCUCCCAGCCCCUGCACAGACACGGCUCGGACCCGGGAAGUUAGUGGGGCUGCCCAGUGUGGACACAUGGCUCACCCAGGGUUCAGUGCACUGCCUGGGCUCCUCCUGUGGAGGACCUGCCCGGGAGGCCCUGGCCGCUGACGGGAGAGGAAUAGGAAGGCACAGCCCCUCCUCCAGCCCUUGGGACCAUCUCCUCCUGCGGUCCCCUGGGCCCCGUUGGUGGGGGGCGGGGCGCAGGGGCAGGGACAGGGCCGGGCAGUGGAUGGGGGUCUGUGGUCCCCUCACUGCCUUGGGGGCAGUAGCUGGUCUAACUGCCCGGCGGCACCCGGCCCUGGGCCUUAGGCACCUCAAGGACUUUUCUGCUAUUUACUGCUCUUAUUGUUAAGGAUAAUAAUUAAGGAUCAUAUGAAUAAUUAAUGAAGAUGCUGAUGACUAUGAAUAAUAAAUAAUUAUCCUGAGGAGACUCCAGGGGUGCUGGGAGGGUGCAGCCAUCGGCACGCUGUAUCCCAUGUUCACGUUCAUAGUGUCCGGUGCACUGGCCUCUCUGAGGGAAUCCAGGCCGAUCUGUCUGUGUGCACAGGGCCUGCAGGGGCAGCUCCGACGUCUGGGUGUGGAGUCUGUGCAGUUGGGGUGCUCCCUCGGGGCUGACACAAGUCACCUCCAGGACCUCUUGCCUCCGGAGGGCCCUGCUUCCAUGUGGUCCUGGAUUCAGGAGGGCAGAGAGCCACCUGGACUCUUUUACAUAUAGAGGUUGUCCUAAUGGGAUGCCAGGCCUGGGGUCCCGCCCCUCAGGGUCUUGGUGGCUUGCUGGGUGGCACACUGGCCCCCAAAGCUGUCCCCAGGCUGACUGCUGUCAGAGUACAGAUGCGCUGUACUCUUCCCUCACACAGCUCAUGAGCCCGGCCCGUACUGACUUUAACCUGGGGCUGUAUUUGGCCAAGCCCCCAACUUGGCCUUAUCUUGACCUUGACUCAGACUCACACGGAUCCUAUGUAACUGGCCCCCCACAGCAAACCAACUCUGGGCACGCUGGUUUUCUCAACCCUGACCAGAGCCCCCGCCCCCUGAUGUCUGGCUCCAGACGGGCCUCACCUCCAUCACCUCCAUCACUUGGUCACCUGUGAUCCUCGACCAGAGGAGCUGCCUGAAGAGGGUGGAAGUUUCAGGGCGGCUCAUUCCCAUUAUCGGAGGAGCAAGUCGGAACAGAUGUCCUGGGGCCAGUGAAGGGUGGUGGCCGUGUGUGUCCGUGUGCUCGUGGGUGUGCGCGUGUGCGCGUGUGCACGUGCCCUGCCGGUCUUGCGCGAACACCCAGCCUUUCAGAGGAGCUGCCGUGCAGUGGUCGUGGUAGGGCAGCUGCCAGCCAGCAGGAGGAGCCGACGGGCAACAGUGCUCCCCAAGGCCUCCAGGGUCGCUUAAUCCUAUAAUCCCUGACCCUCUGAGAGAUCAGUAAAAAUGCUUUGGAAGGAAGACGAAGGACCAUCAGAAGCCAGUAGCCUGUGAGGCUGGGAGAAGGGAUGCCGAAGGGGCAUCUCGUUCCUGGGGCUCAGGAAGAGAGGAAAGAAGGAGGUGUGGGGACCACUGUGCCGCCACUCUGCACCCUAGGACAGGUUCCAUGGUCAAAUGAAGGGCGCUUCCCCUGCUGGCCUGAAGGCAAUAAGCUCUGGACUAUCAGCUCCGUGCGGGUGGGGCUAGUUUGACUCUGCAGGGCCCGGAGCAGUGCCGGGCACUGGGAUGUACUCAAUGUUUCCUGAAUGACCGAAGGAAGCGCCACCCUUCUCCCCGGGACGGAGAACCCUGGGCUCGGCCGGCAGGGCUGGGGAAGUCCUCCUGCGGCUGGCAGAGCAGAAGCGGGGCCUCUGCGCAGGGCUCUGGCCCUUCACCCUGGACCCGCGGGUCACCGUGCUCUACUCCAUUCCUGUCCUCGGGCCUGCGCUGCCCAGUUCUGUGGCAACUGCCCGCUGCCCCAGACCUCAUCCCUGGCCUCCCCCGUCACCUGGGCUCCCGGAGCCACAGGACUCUGGUGAUGGGGGGCAGGGCAAGGGUGCAAUCCCCUCCUCUCCUGCAGGGCCAGUCACCAACGGCCGGGGGUGGGCUGUUGUGCAGAGCGGAGGGUUCUCCCAAACCAAGAGGGCCAGAGGGGUGGGGCGGGAACUGGAGGGGCCGUGGCGGGUGAGGAAAGGUCCACGCGGCUGCCGAUGCACAGGAAGGCAGGUGGCAGAGCCUGGAGCCGGAGUCUGGUCAGGGGCGAGGGACAGGAACCGAGGGGCAGGCCCGGCCUGCCUUCCCCCACCUCCACCUGCCUUCCCCCACCUCCACCUCUGCACCUAAAGGUCCAGGAGCGGAGUGAGGUGCUGGCGGUGCCUCCCGGCCUCGUGACUCAGCCACUGCCCGGGGUCCAGGUGCAAGCUCGCCCCGCCCUGUCCUCACCUGGACCCCCGCUCCUCUCAGCCCAGGCAGUGGCAGCUCUCAUGUUUUAGUGACAAGUAAGAGUCAUCGAUACUCAUGGAGUCCAUCCUUUGUGGUGAGCAUUAUUCUGACUGCCUGAAACCCAAGGCCCAGAGGCUCGCGGAACCUGCCAGCGUCCGCGGCUCCUGAGGGUGGAGCUGAAGCAUGAACCCGGACAGUCUGAGUCCCCCGGGCUGGCCCGAGCCUGGGACACACCAUCUCCCUUAGGCAAGACAGUGACUAGGAGACCUUUGCAAGUGUCUGGGAUUUCUAGGACCUUCUCUCCCCUGCAGACUUUUGUACCUUCUGUUCCUUUGCCUGGAGUGCCCUUUGUUUGGUGAACUCCUGCUGGUCUUUGGGUGGCUCUUCUAGGGGAUGCUUGGUGCGCCCCCUCCCUCGGGCUGGGGCCCCCUCUGUGCUCUUGCAGCACCCUCUGCUCUCCCCGCCCCGCCUUCCCUACCCUGGACUGCCAAAUCCGGGGGCUCGUCAUCUCUGCGCUACACCAUCCCUGUCUGUCCCCCAGCACCACGCGCAGUGGCUCCCCCAGAGCGAGCACGCAACGGUUUACUAAAUGAACACUUCUGGAUUUGGGGAGUGAUUAGCACUGAAAUCCUUAAUAUCCAAAGGGCCGGCGUGCUUGACUUUGGGGGCUGUGACUUCCUGUGCAGCCAGGCUUGGGGUGCGAGGGCUGAGGAGGGGGCUCUGGGGUAGCUGGCACUCCCUGAGCCUCCUCCGCUGAUAGGCAGACGUGAGGUCUGGUACCCCAGGGAUGGCCCCUAAGGGCCCACAGGGUUUACGUUUUCUACCGCACUCUGUUGGCUCAGCUCAGCGCCUGGGGUUUGGUCCUUGCUCUGAGUUACGAUCAGGGAACCUCUCUGGUGCCACCUGGAAUCCCUCCUGGUGGGCAUCUAGGGGCACAGCUGGAUAUCCCGUGAUGGCCAUUGCUCACCUGAGCUUUGGGGAGCCUCUGCCUUUGCUUCCCAUCACAGCAAGUUCAUCACCCUCUCAGAUGCCCGGUCCCUGGCCUGGCCAUACCUCCGGGGGCAGCCCCUGCAGGCCUCUGACUUUUCCAGGCUCUGUUCUGCCACAGUGCAGGGCAGGAGGUCUUGUGCCAGGCCCUUCCUGCAACCCACCUGCCCACGUCGCAGGAACAGAUGGACUGAAGCGUGCCCAGGUCCUGACGUGACAGAUGGCUCCUUCCUCUUUGCCUGCAGGACAAAGCCUUCCACGUCAGCCUGGCACAGAGGGCUCUCGUCUUCCUUUCCAGACUCACCUGCCUUCGUACCUCCUGCUGCCAUGUGCCCAAUACUCUAGCCACAUGAGAUCACGUCCUGUUAACUAUGCUUGAGUUCUCCCUGCAUUUGCCUGUCUUUCCCUCUUCUUGUAAACAGACUCUGUCCUUCCCGGCCUGGAGAAACUCUUCGAUCCUUCAAGUCCUAGCUCACACGUCACCUCCUCCAGGAGGUCCUCUCUAGGUGUCUCAGUGGAUCUAAACCUCCCAUUGCACUGGGCUCAGGCCUUUGUCAGCGCCUCCACACACCCUGCCUGUUCUCCUGUCUGUCAUCCGAAAGAGGACUGGCUGAGUAUUGGUCAUCUUCUCAUCUCCCUUGGAGGCCUCUGUCGUGGGGCCGGGGAGACGGCAGGCACUUUGCCGGUGUGUCUUGCUUCAUCUCCACUUCCCAGCGGCCUCUGCGUGGAGGGCUCCUACCCACUGCCCUCUGUGUGGCUGCUCAUUUGUCCUUUGAUGGUCAAGGCUGAGAGCGAUUUCUCGUAGGGCUUUUCUGUUUCAACCUCAGGUCUGAGGGAUCCCCCUUUCUCCCCAGUGGUGGCCAGUCCAGUGGGUGCUCAGCCUGGCAGCUCAGGGGGACCUACAGGGCUCACACGGUGGUCCGACCACACAGGGACCAUCAAAAGCAUACAAGUAGCGGGUCUAGUCUAUCUCAAGUGCUCAAAAAUGUCGAAACAAAUUUGAAUCAUAGGGCCUUUCAAGGUGACUAUUUGCAAACACUUUCAGAUAAUUGUAUAUCAUAAAAGAGUGGUUGGUGUAAAAAUCAAUAAGAUUUAGUAAAAGACUGAAUAGUAACAGGUUUUUUUAAGCCGCAUAGGUGCAUGAUAUUAAACCCUAUAAAGACUCAGUUUAUCUUGAUCAUCUUAUUGUAGUAGCAUUUAAAAUAAAGUGAUUCUUGAUACUUUAUUUUCUAAAAGUCUAA